AUUAACAUGUGUUGAGACAGUCAUCAACUCCACACACCAGCCUAAAGAAGCAAAAAAGCAGAAAGAGUCAUUGAGGAAAACAGCUGAAAGAUGCUUUUAAAUUAGUCAAAAAGUUAGGGGUAACCUCUUCUGGCAUAUGUCUAUGCGGGCCCGUGUGUAAAUAGAACAUAAAUUACCGGUGUGUGUAAAUAAAGUGUAAAAUAGUGGUAUAAACUGUCUGUUGAAUUUCUCCUGAGUGUUGAAAAAAGGAAAAACUCUUUUCUGCUCUCUCUGAGAGAGGGGCUGUGUGUGUGAGACAGGAAGUGUGCAUGCCCAUAGAAGGAAAGAGAUGAGGUAAACUCUGUGCAGAUAGACCGAAGUAAAAAAAAAAAAAAAAAAAAAGGAAAAGGGUCUCUCUCUGUCUCUGUGAGAGAAAAAAGGUGGGGGCCGAGUGAGCCCGCGGGGCCGAGCGGGUCCGCGGGAGCGAGCGUGUAUGCUGUAUGAGGAAGAAGGGAGUGAGAGGGAGCGAGUGAAAAGAGUAAUCGAGUAUUUGGUGAUUUUUUUUUAUUAUUUCAGAGGCACUGGAUCUGCACAUCGGAAAUUACAAGCAUUACACGUCGGCGAGAAAAUUGUUGUAAAUGACGUCAUUUUGCUGAGUGUGGAAACUAGAUGCGACGACAGGUUUCACUAUCAGCAAAGAACGGAUGAAUGGAUGAAAGACUGGGAA
ensembl:lncRNA